rnacentral:rRNA from 1 species
GACGAACGCUGGCGGCGUGCCUAAUACAUGCGAGUUGAGCGCUGAAGGUUGGUACUUGUACCAACUGGAUGAGCAGCGAACGGGUGAGUAACGCGUGGGGAAUCUGCCUUUGAGCGGGGGACAACAUUUGGAAACGAAUGCUAAUACCGCAUAAAAACUUUAAACACAAGUUUUAAGUUUGAAAGAUGCAAUUGCAUCACUCAAAGAUGAUCCCGCGUUGUAUUAGCUAGUUGGUGAGGUAAAGGCUCACCAAGGCGAUGAUACAUAGCCGACCUGAGAGGGUGAUCGGCCACAUUGGGACUGAGACACGGCCCAAACUCCUACGGGAGGCAGCAGUAGGGAAUCUUCGGCAAUUGACGAAAGUCUGACCGAGCAACGCCGCGGGAGGGAAGAAGGUUUUCGGAUCGUAAAACUCUGUUGGUAGGGAAGAACGGUGGUGAGAGUGGAAAGCUCAUCAAGUGACGGUAACUACGCAGAAAGGGACGGCUAACUACGUG